UUGACCUCGGAUCAGGUAGGGAUACCCGCUGAACUUAAGCAUAUCAAUAAGCGGAGGAAAAGAAACCAACAGGGAUUGCCUCAGUAACGGCGAGUGAAGCGGCAACAGCUCAAAUUUGAAAUCUGCCUCUAGGCCGAGUUGUAAUUUGUAGAAGAUGCUUCGGGUGUGGCACCGGUCUAAGUUCCUUGGAACAGGACGUCAUAGAGGGUGAGAAUCCCGUAUGUGAUCGGUUGCCUUGCCAUGUGAAGCUCCUUCGACGAGUCGAGUUGUUUGGGAAUGCAGCUCUAAAUGGGAGGUAAAAUUUCUUCUAAAGCUAAAUACUGGCCAGAGACCGAUAGCGCACAAGUAGAGUGAUCGAAAGAUGAAAAGCACUUUGGAAAGAGAGUCAAAAAGUACGUGAAAUUGUUGAAAGGGAAGC
rnacentral:rRNA from 1 species